UACGUAGGGCGCAAGCGUUGUCCGGAAUUAUUGGGCGUAAAGAGCUCGUAGGCGGUUUGUCGCGUCUGCUGUGAAAACCUAAGGCUCAACCUUGGGCUUGCAGUGGGUACGGGCAGACUAGAGUGCGGUAGGGGUGACUGGAAUUCCUGGUGUAGCGGUGGAAUGCGCAGAUAUCAGGGAGGAACACCGAGUCGGCGAAGGCAGGUCACU
rnacentral:rRNA from 1 species